rnacentral:rRNA from 1 species
AACGCUGGCGGCGCGCCUAACACAUGCAAGUCGAACGAGAAAGCCGCAAGGUGAGUAAAGUGGCGUACGGGUGAGUAACACGUGGAUUAUCUGCCCUUUAGUGGGGAAUACCGCUGGGAAACCGGCGACAAUACCGCAUAAGCUCGAGAGAGGAAAGCAGCAAUGCGCUGAAGGAGGAGUCCGCGGCUGAUUAGCUAGUUGGUAGGGUAAAAGCCUACCAAGGCUGUGAUCGGUAGCCGGCCUGAGAGGGCACACGGCCACACUGGCACUGAAACACGGGCCAGACUCCUAUGGGAGGCA